UGUCCAAACCCAGCAACAACAUAUGAUCAGUGUCCUCUCCACAGUCAUUCAGCACACAGGUCCUCACCAUGGGAUUGAGCUGGAUCAUCCUCUUCCUCAUGUCAGUAAUUUCAGGUGUCCACUCCCAGGUCCAGCUGCAGCAGUCUAAUCCUCAGCUUGUUAAACCAGGGUCCUCAACGAAGUUGUCGUGCAAGACUUCAGGAUACAUAUUCACUGAAUACAACAUUAACUGGGUGAAGCAGAAGCCUGGACAGGGCCUGGAGUGGAUUGGAUAUUUUAAUCCUAAUAAUGGUAAUACUGGCUAUGCAGAGAAGUUCAAGGGCAAGGCCACGUUGAAUGCAGAAAAGUCCUCCAGCACAGCCUACAUGGAGCUCAGCAGUCUGACAUUUGAGGACACUGCAGUCUAUUACUGUACAAGAUACACACAGUGCUGCAACUAUAUCCUGAGUGUGUCAGAAACCCUGGAGUGGCAGGAAGCAUGUCAGAGAAGAUCAACAAGAAGACUUUCUCGGAAAUAA